rnacentral:rRNA from 3 species
UCUUAUAAAUUAAGACUGGAAUGAAUGGAAAAAUGGGGCAAUACUUUCUUUAAUUAAAAAUUAAAAAUAAAUUUUUUAGUGAAGAAGCUAAAAUGAAUUUAAGGGACGAGAAGACCCUAUUAAGCUUAAUAAGAUUAUUUUGUUGGGGAAACAAAAGAAUAAAAUUUCUUUUAUUAGAAGAAUUGAUAAAUGGAGAUUUGACAUUGUUAAUGUUAGAAUAAGUUACUAUAGGGAUAACAGCAUAAUCUCUUUGAAAAGUACUUAUUGAUAAAGUGGAUUAUGACCUCGAUGUUGGAUUAAAAAAAUUGUAUUAUGCAGUUGUUAUAUAAAUUAGUCUGUUCGACUAUUAAAUUUUUA